AGUUCAUCUUCCACACGGGCUGCUGCCCAGAGCAGGUAGGCAGGUAUGGGAUGGGGGUGAGAGUGCCCUGGGCCCUGGUAGUUCUAGUUAAUCAGCUUCCAAAGCAAGGCCCCAAGGAAUAGCAGUGGAUUUGGGCUGGAGCUGCGUCUCUUGUCCGCAGCAGUUCAGGAUCUGGUUAUCCCUAGCCCUGCAGGCUGAAGAGGAGCUUGAGGAAACCUCAUGCAUGAAGGGACACAGAUCUCAGUUCUACCUUGUCCAACUCUAGCCUGGCUUUGCCCAUGUACUGCUCAGUUCUGCAGGGGGUGGGGUGUACUUUUCUGCUCUGCAGGCUCCUACCCCCUUGUCCACUGACGCAGGGUGAAGGCUGGGGUGUGUGAGACCAGAGUGGAAGGGAGGUUGUCUGGAGAACUAAACGACAGCCCUGGGGGCAACUCUUGUGACCUCCUGCCCCAGGCUCCCAGCACCAUGACGGUUUCAUACACUCUCAAAGUGGCGGAGGCCCGCUUCGGAGGUUUCUCUGGCCUGCUUCUCCGCUGGAGGGGAAGCAUCUACAAGCUCCUCUACAAGGAAUUCCUCCUCUUUGGGGCCUUGUACGCUGUGCUUAGCAUCACCUACCGGCUGCUGCUGACCCAGGAGCAGAGGUACGUGUAUGCUCAGGUGGCCCGGUACUGCAACCGCUCAGCAGACCUCAUUCCCUUGUCCUUUGUAUUGGGUUUCUAUGUGACUCUCGUGGUGAACCGCUGGUGGUCCCAGUACACAAGCAUCCCGCUGCCAGACCAGCUGAUGUGCGUCAUCUCGGCUAGCGUGCACGGCGUGGACCAGCGGGGCCGCCUGCUGCGCCGCACCCUCAUCCGCUACGCGAACCUGGCGUCCGUGCUGGUGCUGCGCUCGGUCAGCACCCGCGUGCUUAAGCGCUUCCCCACCAUGGAGCACGUGGUGGACGCAGGUUUCAUGUCCCAGGAAGAGAGGAAAAAGUUUGAGAGCCUGAAAUCCGACUUCAACAAGUACUGGGUCCCCUGCGUCUGGUUCACCAACCUGGCGGCCCAGGCCCGGAGGGACGGGCGAAUACGUGACGAUAUCGCUCUCUGUCUACUUUUGGAAGAGCUGAACAAGUACCGAGCCAAGUGCAGCAUGCUAUUCCACUAUGACUGGAUCAGCAUCCCCCUCGUCUACACCCAAGUGGUGACCAUAGCCGUCUACUCUUUCUUUGCCCUCUCCCUGGUUGGCCGCCAGUUUGUGGAGCCAGAGGCAGGGGCUGCCAAACCUCAGAAGCUUCUGAAGCCAGGCCAGGAGCCAGCCCCAGCCCUGGGAGACCCGGACAUGUACGUGCCUCUCACCACUCUGCUGCAGUUCUUCUUCUAUGCUGGCUGGCUCAAGGUGGCUGAACAGAUCAUCAACCCAUUUGGUGAGGAUGAUGACGACUUUGAGACAAAUCAGCUCAUAGACCGCAACUUGCAGGUGUCCCUGCUAUCCGUGGACGAAAUGUACCAGAACCUUCCCCCCGCUGAGAAGGACCAGUACUGGGAUGAGGACCAGCCGCAGCCACCCUACACUGUGGCCACGGCGGCCGAGUCUCUGCGGCCCUCAUUCCUGGGCUCCACCUUCAACCUGCGCAUGAGCGACGACCCUGAGCAGAGCCUGCAGGUGGAGGCGUCCCCCGGAUCUGGUCGGCCCGCGCCCGCCGCGCAGACCCCGUUGCUCGGCCGCUUCCUGGGCGUAGGGGCGCCCUCCCCGGCCAUCAGCCUCCGGAACUUCGGCCGCGUGCGAGGCACCCCCCGCCCCCCGCAUCUGCUGCGCUUCCGGGCGGAGGAGGGCGGCGACCCCGAGGCCGCAGCCCGCAUCGAGGAGGAAUCGGCGGAGUCCGGGGACGAGGCCCUGGAGCCCUGAGGUCUCGCCUGCCCCCGCCCGGUUUCCCCCACCCACUGCCCUCCUUCCCUCCCGUGCCCGGUCCUGCCAGCCAGCUCUAUUAGAGCAGCUUUUCCUGUGUGCCUUGAAGGCCAGAGCAUUUAGGGACAGAACUUGAAAGAGAAGAUGGCGAAAAGGGCCUGAGCCAGGGCUGGGAAUGUGUCCACUUUGGUGGGAGAGAAGGUCGGUUGCUUGGGGGACGUGAAGCUAGAAAAAUAAAUGAGCCCAGGCAUAGAGGACUAGAGCCCAGGUGCACGGUUAGCUUCACAGCAACAGGGAGCUAGGCCAUUGGUUCUCAAACUUAAGGAAGGAUCAGCAUCACGGAAGGUCUUGUCAAAAGAGUGCUGGGCACCACUCCCAGCAUUUCUGGCACGUUAGAUUUGGGAUGGCGCCCAAUAACUUGCAUUUCUAACAAGUUCCCAGGUGAUGCUGUGCUGCUUGUCCAGGAAACACAAUUUGAGAGUCAUGUGAAACGUGCUUGAAGGGGUAUACCUUACCCUGGUAACCUUACUCAAAAGAAGGCUUUUACAAGCCUUGUUCCAUGGUGAGAACGGUCAUCUGUGAAGGUGGUAGAAAUGGAGAAUGGAUGGAUUUCAAGACUUUAGAG